GCCCGGCUCUGCGCUGGAGGGGGGAGAAGCAUCAUGGUUCAACGUGGGUCAAUUUUUUGUGAAUGAGGAGGGGAGGUUGUGGGGCCGCCACCGCGGAGCACCGUCCCCGCCGCCGCCCGAGCCCGAGCCCGCGCGCCCGCCCGCGCCGCCGCCGCCGCCCGAGCAGCCUCCCAGCCUGGGCCCCCGGCGGCGCUGCGGCCGCGUCCCGGCUGUCGCCGCCCGAGCCCGAGCCCGAGCCCGAGCCCGCUCGCCGGCGGGUGGCGGCGCAGGCUGAGGAGAUGCGGCGCGGAGCGCCCGAGCAGGGCUAGAGCCGGCCGCCGCCGCCCGCCGCGGUUCACCUGCGGAAGCCAGUGGACGCCUCUGCUCUCCUUGUGGGUUACCUGGCUCAUGAGACCUGGCUGGCGAGGCUCGGCGCGUGAACGUCUGUGACCCAGCCCUCGCCGUUCCGGCACUUGUAUGUGUUGGUGGGAGUUUGGAGCUCGCUGGAGCUAUCGUUUGCGUGGAAAUUUUGAGCCAUUUCGAAUCACUUAAAGGAGUGGACGUUGCUAGCAAUGAGCUCCCAAAGCCAUCCAGGGUCGCUCGUGGGCUGUCCAGUGUUGGAGAAGAGCCUCUUGGAGUGGAAGCCCAGACCGACGUUUGGGGGCUAGAGUUCGAGUGUCCUUGGCUGGCCACACUCCUUUCUGUCGCCCUCUUGCAGUCCUGGUUGCCAGGUGAGUGGCCACGGUCCGCGG